rnacentral:rRNA from 1 species
AUUUUUGAGAGUUUGAUCCUGGCUCAGGAUGAACGCUGGCUGUGUGCCUAAUACAUGCAUGUCGAGCGAGGUGCUUGCACCUAGCGGCGAAUGGGUGAGUAACACGUACUUAACAUACCUUAUAGUUUGGGAUAACGUUUGGAAACAGGCGCUAAUACCGAAUAUCUGUUUUUAUCGCAUGAUGAAAACAUGAAAGGAGCUUCUGGCUUCGCUAUUGGAUUGGGGUGCGGAAUAUUAGUUAGUUGGUGGGGUAAUGGCUCACCAAGACGAUGAUAUUUAGCCGGGUUGAGAGACCGACCGGCCACACUGGGACUGAGAUACGGCCCAGACUCCUACGGGAGGCAGCAGUAGGGAAUAUUCCACAAUGAGCGAAAGCUUGAUGGAGCGACACAGCGUGAACGAUGAAGCCCUUCGGGGUGUAAAGUUCUGUUAUAAGAGAAGAAAAAACUAGGGAGGAAAUGCCUUAGUCUUGACGGUAUCUUAUCAGAAAGUGACGGCUAACUAUGUGCCAGCAGCCGCGGUAAUACAUAGGUCACGAGCGUUAUCCGAAAUUAUUGGGCGUAAAGCGUCCGUAGGUUGUUUGUUAAGUCUGACGUUAAAUCUUGGGGCUCAACCCCAUUCCGCGUUGGAUACUGGCAAGCUAGAGUUAUAUAGAGGUUAGUGGAAUUCAAUGUGAAGCGGUGGAAUGCGUAGAUAUAUUGAAGAACACCAAUGGCGAAGGCAGCUAACUGGGUAUAAACUGACACUGAGGGACGAAAGCGUGGGGAGCAAACAGGAUUAGAUACCCUGGUAGUCCACGCCGUAAACGAUGAUCAUUAGUUGGUGGCAAAGUCACUAACACAGCUAACGCAUUAAAUGAUCCGCCUGAGUAGUAUGCUCGCAAGAGUGAAACUUAAAGGAAUUGACGGGGAUCCGCACAAGCGGUGGAGCAUGUGGUUUAAUUUGAAGAUACGCGUAGAACCUUACCCACACUUGACAUCUUCUGCAAUGCUAUAGAGAUAUAGUGGAGGUUAACAGAAUGACAGGUGGUGCAUGGUUGUCGUCAGCUCGUGUCGUGAGAUGUUUGGUUAAGUCCUGCAACGAGCGCAACCCUUAUCAUUAUUUACCAUCAUUUAGUUGGGGACUAUAAUGAGACUGCCCGAGUAAUCGGGAGGAAGGUGGGGACGACGUCAAAUCAUCAUGCCUCUUACGUGUGGGGCAACACACGUGCUACAAUGGUCGAUACAAAGAGAAGCAACCCGGCGACGGUGAGCAAACCUCAAAAAAUCGAUCUCAGUUCGGAUUGGAGUCUGCAACUCGACUCCAUGAAGUCGGAAUCGCUAGUAAUCGUAGGUCAGCUAUACUACGGUGAAUACGUUCUCGGAUCUUGUACACACCGCCCGUCACACCAUGGGAGCUGGAAAUGCCCGAAGCCGGUUAGUUAACUUCGGAGGCAACUGUCUAAGGCAGGUCCGGUGACUGGGGUGAAGUCGUAACAAGGUAUCCCUACGAGAACGUGGGGAUGGAUCACCUCCUUU